UGUGGGAGCGAGCUUGCUCGCGAUAGCGGAGUGUCAGGCAACAUUGAUGUCACUGAUCCUCCCCCAUCGCGAGCAAGCUCGCUCCCACA
rnacentral:misc_RNA from 1 species